GCCACACUUUGUUCCUGUGGGAAAGUCCGGCCUCUCAGGAAAGAGCCUCUCUCGGUGGCUGGGCCCUGGGCUGGGGACGCAUAAGUUGAACAAAACCUCAUCCGUUGGCCACGAUUCAUGGGCCCAAGGUCCACCUCCGCCCUGGAGAGGAGAGGACGGGUCUGCCCAGGGGCUGGAACUCUGGGCCAUCCCUUUGUCCUCCUCUACCGGAAGCCCCUUCUGGAAGGUCUCUCUCACCUGACCCUUGCUGGUUCCUGCCCUGCCUCUGACUGAAAAGGGGAAGCAGUGAAGGAAACAGCCACAGUAAAGCAGACACUCGUUACGCCGGUGCCAGUAUCCCCAGCCCCGUCUCGUGUGUUAAGGGGACCUAAAGGCUGUCCUGCUUCUACACUCUGGCAAACAGGAUGGGCAGGUGAAGCCUGGAGGCUACUAGGGUCGGCUGUGACCAGGGCCAUGGCUGUACCAUGAUAUUAAGUACCUGCCACGUGCCUGCUGCAGGGAUGGAUCACAUGGACACAGAGGCAGCAACAUUCCACAUGCCCGGUCAGUAGCCUGGAUCCCAGAGUGAAGCGAUGUGACAGGGAGAUGCUGUCAUACUGCAGACAAACAAGACUUGAGUGACAAAGAAUCGGCGGGGGUUGCAAGGCUUUAAUGUGGAGGGGCUGCUUGAUGCCUCAGCGCAACUCAGCCUGUUGGUAACACGCGUGCCACCGAUGACCAAGCUGCACCCCCCAGUUUGUGGAUUCAAGCUUCCCAUCUGGGUUUGAAUAAUUU
rnacentral:lncRNA from 1 species